rnacentral:rRNA from 1 species
GUGGGGAAUUUUGGACAAUGGGGGCAACCCUGAUCCAGCAAUGCCGCGUGAGUGAAGAAGGCCUUCGGGUUGUAAAGCUCUUUUGUCAGGGAAGAAAAGGUGGUGUCUAAUACAUGCCACUCAUGACGGUACCUGAAGAAUAAGCACCGGCUAACUACGUGCCAGCAGCCGCGGUAAUACGUAGGGUGCAAGCGUUAAUCGGAAUUACUGGGCGUAAAGCGUGCGCAGGCGGUUAUAUAAGUCAGAUGUGAAAUCCCCGGGCUCAACCUGGGAACUGCAUUUGAGACUGUAUGGCUAGAGUGUGUCAGAGGGGGGUAGAAUUCCACGUGUAGCAGUGAAAUGCGUAGAUAUGUGGAGGAAUACCGAUGGCGAAGGCAGCCCCCUGGGAUAACACUGACGCUCAUGCACGAAAGCGUGGGGAGCAAACAGGAUUAGAUACCCUAGUAGUCC